AUUGAACGCUGGCGGCAUGCCUUACACAUGCAAGUCGAACGGUAACAGGUCUUCGGAUGCUGACGAGUGGCGAACGGGUGAGUAAUACAUCGGAACGUGCCUAGUAGGGGGGGAUAACUACUCGAAAGAGUGGCUAAUACCGCAUGAGAUCUACGGAUGAAAGCAGGGGAUCGCAAGACCUUGUGCUACUGGAGCGGCCGAUGGCAGAUUAGGUAGUUGGUGGGAUAAAAGCUUACCAAGCCGACGAUCUGUAGCUGGUCUGAGAGGACGCUCAGCCACACUGGGACUGAGAAACGGCCCAGACUCCUACGGGAGGCAGCAGCGGGGAAUUUUGGACAAUGGGCGCCAGCCUGAUCCAGCAAUGCCGCGUGCAGGAUGAAGGCCUUCGGGUUGUAAACUGCUUUUGUACGGAACGAAAAGCCCUGGGUUAAUACCCUGGGGUCAUGACGGUACCGUAAGAAUAAGCACCGGCUAACUACGUGCCAGCCGCCGCGGUAAGAC
rnacentral:rRNA from 1 species